AGGACGAACGCUGGCGGCGUGCUUCAUACAUGCAAGUCGAACGAGAAGCUGACUUCGGUCAGUGGAAAGUGGCGGACGGGUGAGUAAUAUGUAGAGAAUCUGCCCUUGAGUGGGGGACAACAGAGGGAAACUUCUGCUAAUACCCCAUAUGAGCUAACUUGAAAUAGUUAUCUUGAAAACUCCGGUGCUCAAGGAUGAGUCUGCAUCUGAUUAGCUAGUUGGCGGUGUAAUGGACCACCAAGGCGACGAUCAGUAGCUGGUUUGAGAGGAUGAUCAGCCACAAUGGGACUGAGACACGGCCCAUACUCCUACGGGAGGCAGCAGUAGGGAAUUUUGCGCAAUGGGCGAAAGCCCUGACGCAGCAACGCCGCGUGAACGAUUAAGCCCUUCGGGGUGUAAAGUUCUGUCAGUAGGGACGAAUUUUGACGGUACCUACAGAGGAAGCACCGGCUAACUCCGUGCCAGCAGCGGC
rnacentral:rRNA from 1 species